rnacentral:tRNA from 1 species
ACUUAAAUAGCUUAAUUUAAAGCGUAAUAGUGAAGUUAUUAAAAUAGUCAUUGACUUUUAAGUG